CUGACAUGCACACUUCACUCUUACUUGACACACUGACCUUACUCCAGGACUGGGAACUGACAAGGCAACAACAAGUUCCUAAAUUGAGUGCACACCUGUAGAUGUGGUACUUGCUGAACUGAGAAGGGAAUUGUGCCUGGUACUCUAGCAGGGAGUGUGAGCGUGCUGUGACUCCCAGGUGGAGCAGUUUUGGGCGAGGUGGCUCUGGUCGUCUCAUCCCCACUUCCUCCUGAGGUUUCUUCUCUACCCUGUCAGUAGGCUCUCCAAGUGCAGCACCACUGCUACUGCGGAUGGGUGGCAGUGCCUGUAAUGUAUUGGUCUAUCUGGUAACGAGCUAAAGCUGCCUCUGGAGUGAUCUGGCAAACACAGGAAUGAAAGAUUUUAUUAGCAUGACUAUCUUUGAUUAAAAAUCAUGGUGGUGGUGGGGGCUGGCAGCAUUUGAUAUAUUUACAUUUACACAAACAUGAAAAUAGAGUAUAUAUGCAAUAAAUUGUGUGUGUGUGUGUGUGUGUGUGUGUGUGUGUGUGUGUGUGUGAGAGA